ACAAUGAUACUCCCGUCCAGUCACAAGUCGAGCGUUAGAAGCGUCGCAACAAAUGAGGGCGGCUCCGGGCGAUCCCCGGAGGGGUGCGAAUCCCGUG
rnacentral:ncRNA from 1 species